UUUCAGAGAAAGAAAUUAACCACUCCUAUUACACACUUUCGCCAAAAGAAUCCUUGAUUAAGAAUUUCACAACAUUCUUUAAAAAAAUGAAAAUUCCACAGGUUAGCAUCGGGGUAGAUCUGCAGGAGGAUGUGGCAGAGUCUCCAAGUGUCCUUUCCCAUUCUUCACUAUAAGCACCGUAGCUAAUCCCCAUGAUUGGUGUAUAUCAAAGUGACAGUGCAUAAACCAAACCCCCGGAUUGUCUGCAACAAAGCGAAUUGCUGCCCAUCCCCCAACUGGAACUCCAAUGGUGUUCAUAUAUGGCGGAUCCACUAGAUUGAGAUUUGCUCUUUGUGGGUUAUAGUUGCCGGUGCCGUAUCCCACAACAUAGAAACUAUAGCCAUGGAGGUGAAUUGGGUGAUUUUCAGUUGUGACCGUUCCGGUGUCCUGCAAAAUGAUUUGCACCCUGCUUCCAUACUCAAGGACCUUAGUCCUAGUCCCAUUCAUUGAGUUUGUGUCAAAUGGGAUAUUGUUAGGUGCCCCAUUGACAAAGUCAUAGAAUCUAAGAGGUGCUCCAGGGAAAUCAUCAGUGAAAAAGCCCUCAAUCCCCUGGUAAUAGGCUUCCAAAACUGAAACCGUAGGCUUAAUGAAACUUACAUUGUUCAUGGAAGCUGCCAUGGUACCAUUAUUAAGGCCUUGGCAAUUUUGUUGAGGUGUUUUGGAGCUACACUUGUUGACAUUUAUUCCAAUAGUUACGAAGAGAUUAGUGUCAAUCUCUUUUGGAACGUUUGAAGUAUUUAAGCCUCGCAAGCCAUCCAUGACCGUCUUAACAGCUAAAUUAUCAUUGAAGUUGGGUAAUCUAGCUGGUAAUGAAAUGCUAUUAGGGACAGCACCCAAGUAUUGGAAGUGGGCAAUUGCUGAAAUGUUCUGGAAUGAGACACCCUGAGCUGACAUGUAAGGUCCCAUGGCCAUGGAAUAUUUUCCAAUGGGCUGAUCGGCAGUGACGAGGAUGAUCAUUGUCUGUCCCGGUCCGAGCAUUACACGGUCAGUGGUGAAUGGUUUUGUGUACUCCGCAUCGGCUUCUACGAUUGUUAAUUUGUGAUUAGCAAUUGCAAAGAAGUUUUCCAUGUUUAAGCCUGCAUUUAUCAGCCUUAACAAAUAGGUCUUUCCUGGGACCACGUCGAUCUUAUAAACAUCAUUAGCAGAGCAAUUGUAGUUAGGACCAGGGUGACCAUUGAUGGUAUAGGCAUUGGAGGGUGGAGGGGCUCCCCCGCUUGCGAGUACUUGCCGCUCUAGUUGUACAACAUCCUGGAGCCAAUAUUCCCCCAGAAUUACUAUAUGCUCUUCAUGAGGGUGGGGAAAUGGGUAUGGGACCCCCGUUUUUGGGUACACAACAAUGGCACCAUAAACUGUACCCCUUAGCCAAGAAACAUGAGCAUGCCAAAAGAAGGUGCCCUUUUGCCUAACCAACGUGAACUCGUAAGUGAAACUCUGCCCAGGCUGAAUUGGGCAUUGGGUGAUAUAUGAAGGUCCAUCGAACCAGCAAGAUAGUAUCUGCCUGACACCGUGCCAGUGGAUGGUGGCAUUGUAAGGGGACUCGUUGGUAACUUUGACGAUUAUUCGAUCACCUUGUUGGGCAUAAACGACAGGUCCAGGGUACAUAUUAUUAACAGCAACAAUUUCCUUGGUGUUGCACAAUUUAUUAAUAGUCAUGGUAUGAAUCUUGAAAUCAUAGAACCUGGUUGUUCUCCCUCCAGGCCAGUUAGGCGUAGAAUGAACAGAGUAGGCGCAAGACAUGAUUAGGCUUAAGCAUAUGAUCGUAAAAGAAUAGGGAGGGUUGGCCAUGUUGAGAGAGAUAGAGGUAGAAAGAAUUGGUUCUUAGAGGUGAAGUGGUGUUGGAAAGAAGCUUUUAAUAUAGAUAGUUACAGGUAAUAGAGAGAGAAUAAUGAAAUG
rnacentral:misc_RNA from 1 species